rnacentral:lncRNA from 1 species
UGGAUGCCCGUCACCAAGUUGGGCCGCUUGGUCAAGGACAUGAAGAUCAAGUCCCUGGAGGAGAUCUAUCUCUUCUCCCUGCCUAUUAAGGAAUCAGAGAUCAUUGAUUUCUUCCUGGGGGCCUCUCUCAAGGAUGAGGUUUUGAAGAUUAUGCCAGUGCAGAAGCAGACCCGUGCCGGCCAGCGCACCAGGUUCAAGGCAUUUGUUGCUAUCGGGGACUACAAUGGCCACGUCGGUCUGGGUGUUAAGUGCUCCAAGGAGGUGGCCACCGCCAUCCGUGGGGCCAUCAUCCUGGCCAAGCUCUCCAUCGUCCCCGUGCGCAGAGGCUACUGGGGGAACAAGAUCGGCAAGCCCCACACUGUCCCUUGCAAGGUAGGCUGGUGGCAGGUGAUGGGCCUGCCGUGGGGCAGGCUCCCUCGGGCCCCCGUCUCCUGACUCCUUCCCUCACCAGGUGACAGGCCGCUGCGGCUCUGUGCUGGUACGCCUCAUCCCUGCACCCAGGGGCACUGGCAUCGUCUCCGCACCUGUGCCUAAGAAGCUGCUCAUGAUGGCUGGUAUCGAUGACUGCUACACCUCAGCCCGGGGCUGCACUGCCACCCUGGGCAACUUCGGUAGGUGGUCCACACAUGGGGCAUAGCCAUGGUCUCUCAGCUCCGCUUAACCACACGGGUCCAGUGUGUGCUUGGCGUGUUUUCAGGGAGGCAGAGAAAGGCUCUCCUAAUGCACGACAGACC